AACUACUGCUUGUUGUUUCACCAUGUGCUGUACAGAGCAAUUAUAAGAGAUUCUUUAACUAUAAAGAAUUCAGUUUAGAGUAGGUUUGUUUCUCUCAAGUAGGUGUUUUAAUAUCUAUGAAAAACAAAUCAAACACUCAUAACAAAAUUAAAUAGCAAAUCCAAGUGAAAUAUAUCAAACAUAAAAUUCAAGUUCGAGAUGACAUUUUAUUGUUAAAUACAUAUAUUGUAUCCUUUUAGAUUUUUUUUUUUCCUU
rnacentral:lncRNA from 1 species